rnacentral:ncRNA from 1 species
AGGUUAUUGUUAACCGAGUAGAUGAAAAGGGAAUCAGGUUAGACUCCUGAACAACCGCCAUUACUGUAUUUGGGCAGAAAAAGCAGGCGCAGCGGCGGGCUUUGCCGCGCUGUGUAAACCCAUUGGAUUUUUCUGAGAAGGGCUGCUUUUGCGCAGGGUAUUGCAAAAUAUGCUGCUCCCCAUAAGUCAGGAUACCUGCCGUUUCUUU